rnacentral:lncRNA from 1 species
AUUCAUUCUGAGACGUCCAUGAGAAAGGAGAAGGGUGCAUGAGAUCAAACAUAAAGUAUAAUAUUCAUUAAAUCUGCUUUAAAGUACAUGUUUUGAUUAUGAAUAUUCUUGAUCAAUAGGAUCAUAACCAUCCAUAGUGUUAUCUCUUUCUUUUAAUGUGACAGGUACUCACAACGUUAUUAUAAGUCCUAAAAAUAUAAUUUGGGUGUAUUAUAUGUAAUAAUAAUUCCGAUCUUUUCCUGAAAAGCACAGCUAACAAGGUUUGCACGUUGCACUCUCUCUCGUACAUCCUAUCUCCUUCUGCAUUCUCCCAAGUAUUUCCACCUGGAAGAUGGUGAUUGCCAUAACACCUCCCAAGGGGGCCAUUCAAUAAAUCUAGGGGGCAGAG